AUGUUUUUAAAAUAUGCAUGUACCAUCACCAAUCCCCUACUAGCCUUUCUGCCUAUCUUCCACUGUCUGCAUUCACCAGAGACUUGUUUGGUUAGAUAUCCCCGUGACGAGAAAAGAUGGCAUCUAUGGCAAAAACGACAAUUCCCAACAACUUUUCGCACAAGAUUUCUUCUUUUAGGUGCUAUUCAGUGUUGUAGGAAUGACUAAGCUUUUGGCACGUUCAUCGUGUAAAUGUAAGCUGGUUGGAAGAAACAACUUCAAUGGAGAUCUCAAUAGCAGAGGAAGACCAGCCGCUGCUACACAUGACCUUCAAAUCUGCUGCCGGUGGAAGGGAUGGAGGGAACUGAAGUAGGUGAUGAGGACGUUGAGAGCGGUGGUGACGAUGAGGACAGUUACCUCCAAUUCCUUUCACUUGUUGAGUUCUUGCUCAAUCUAACAAUGUAAAUUACCUUGCAUAAAUUUACAGUGUGAGAAAAGUAACACUCUUGUUUCUACAGAGGAGGAAAUGGAAUGUAUCAGAUUAUUUUUAUAGCAUUCAGUGCUCUCGUCUUCAUUUAGAUCCUCUCUCUCCCUUCCACAACCCUGGAAGGCCUCUCCUCUCCAUCCUUCUGUGUCCUUUUGUGUGGCUACUUCACUGCCGUAACUGUCCACUCUCCAACUUAGUUUGCCAACUUUACUUUAGUUCAGUAGUUUUGCAAAAUACUACAGUUGCAUAUUCCCUCCUCUCACUAAAAGUUCUUCAAAGUUAGAGAAUGCCUUAUGCUGCUUUUGAACAAUCCCAAGACUCUCUAGAACAGUGCCCUUCUUAGACUAGAAAUCCAAUAAUCACUGUUGGUAGGGAGAUAAGAAUCUACCAUGUCUUCAAUACUUCUGAAAAAUGAGAUUCC
rnacentral:lncRNA from 1 species